rnacentral:ncRNA from 1 species
UAAAAACCUGUGAGCAGGAGUAGUAACAAAUCCUACGGUACAAAGAGAGUUUUGCGUUUGGUGUAAGCAAAAUUGCCUAAGGCUUGCGAAUGGACCUGUGAGGGCAACCCGAAAAUUAUUCAGUAGGCGUUGACGGUUACCUUAUCGUUAACAAAGGAGCGUAUGUUAGUGCGUGAUGAGUGGGUGCUUUUUGGCGUCAAUUUGGGUGGUACCGCAGAAGUUUAGCUUUUGUCCCUUUU